rnacentral:misc_RNA from 1 species
GGUUGUUGGGAGGUUCAAGUUAUGAUGGCAGCACUGCCUGUCUCCAUACUAGGCAGCAGCACAUGUUCCUGUAUGCUUGCUAUUUGGCUGACAGAUGGAUGUGUGCGGUGAGAGAGAUUAAUUUUAACAUUUGUGCCCAUUUGUGGUACUUGCUCACUAAUCCCAUUAUUUAUGUUAUUGCUUUUGUGGCCUUCUCUUUGCCAUUUUGUUAAGUUCCAUGCUGAGGGAAAAUGGAGUUUUAUUCUGCUAUUUAUAGGAUUGUGUAGUUCUCCACAAAUGUUUGUGCAUUUAUGGGUUAUGUUAACAAUUUCUUAAUUAUUUUCUGUUAAUAUUAUAAGGUCGUCUUAUAGGAUUUCUUUGCAUAUAUAAUGGUGUAUGUGUAUGCUGUGUACAUUAUGAUGUACCCUUCUAGUGAACC